rnacentral:rRNA from 1 species
GAUGAACGCUGGCGGCGUGCUUAACACAUGCAAGUCGAACGAGAAGUGAAGACGGAAACCUUCGGGCGGAAGGCUUUAUUUCGAGUGGCGGACGGGUGAGUAACGCGUGGGUAACCUGCCUCAUACAGGGGGAUAACAGUUGGAAACGACUGUUAAUACCGCAUAAGACCACAGCACCGCAUGGUGCGGGGGUAAAAACUCCGGUGGUAUGAGAUGGACCCGCGUUCGAUUAGCCAGUUGGCGGGGUAACGGCCCACCAAAGCGACGAUCGAUAGCCGAUCUGAGAGGAUGACCGGCCACAUUGGGACUGAGACACGGCCCAAACUCCUACGGGAGGCAGCAGUGGGGAAUAUUGCACAAUGGGGGAAACCCUGAUGCAGCGACGCCGCGUGAGUGAAGAAGUAUUUCGGCAUGUAAAGCUCUAUCAGCAGGGAAGAAAAUGACGGUACCUGAGUAAGAAGCCCCGGCUAACUACGUG